rnacentral:rRNA from 1 species
CUACGGGGUGCAGCAGUAGGGAAUAUUGCACAAUGGGCGAAAGCCUGAUGCAGCAACGCCGCGUGUGCGAUGAAGGCCUUCGGGUCGUAAAGCACUUUUUGAGAGGAUGAGAAAGGACAGUACUCUCAGAAUAAGUCUCGGCUAACUACGUGCCAGCAGCCGCGGUAACACGUAGGAGGCAAGCGUUAUCCGGAUUUACUGGGCGUAAAGCGCGUGCAGGUGGUUUGGUAAGUUGGAUGUGAAAUCUCCCGGCUCAACUGGGUGAGGUCGUUCAAAACUGCCAAGCUAGAGGACGGUAGAGGAAAGUGGAAUUCCCGGUGUAGUGGUGAAAUGCGUAGAUAUCGGGAGGAACACCAGUGGCGAAAGCGACUUUCUGGCCCGUUCCUGACACUAAGACGCGAAAGCUAGGGUAGCAAACGGGAUUAGAUACCCCCGUAGUC